rnacentral:lncRNA from 1 species
UUGUGUUUCCACAGAAAAUCAAAAGCUGUGGAUUCCUUCCAGACUAAUAUGGUUUGAUCAAGCAAGACCCCCUGAAGCUGAGAUGACACAGCCUUUCACACUACAAAAACAAGGACGUGGUCAGAUGCCAGGUGUGGACAUUCAAAAGUCAAAUCCUUGAGAUCAAAGAAACAAAGUUUGAUCCUGUUGAAAUGUUCAGCCACAACUCACUCAUAUGACUAGAGAUUUUAUGCUUCAUGAGACAAAUAAUAUGAAUAGUCUUUUGUAGCCGCAGUCCAAUUAAAGAUUGAAGUGGCUUUGGAGUUGGAAUGUGGCUCUCUCCUCUAAACCCAAGCAUACUUAUUUAUGAUUCCACCAGGACUAUGAUACUACCCCUAAGCUGAACAACACCAACUAAAGAUUGGCUUUGGACAAUCUCAAGGAUACCCUAAAGAUGUCAUUUCACCCAAACAGCAGCAAGCAAUUUAUGAAUACAGUGCCCACAUUCUGAAGAAGUGGGGUGGGUUUUUGAUCCUUUGUUGGGAUAGUAUAUGUGUCAUUGUUUAGGGGGAUUGGUUACAACUGGUUACAAGUUUAUUGCAUGGGAAUCAAGAUUCACUAGACUCAGUAUAGGUUAGGUGAAGGCUAUUUGGGGAGAAUGCACUUACACAAGAGGCAGGUGAGCACCACAGUUUCCAGCUCCAAUGAUCCACCCAGGCUAUUCUCCAUGACCCUACCUGAGGAGUGGAUGGGGAUGGGAUGG